rnacentral:rRNA from 1 species
GACGUAGGGCGCGAGCGUUGUCCGGAUUUAUUGGGCGUAAAGAGCUCGUAGGCGGCCUGUCGCGUCGUCCGUGAAAACCCGGGGCUCAACCCCGGGCCUGCAUUCGAUACGGGCAGACUAGAGUUCGGUAGGGGAGUCUGGAAUUCCUGGUGUAGUGGUGAAAUGCGCAGAUAUCAGGAGGAACACCGGUGGCGAAGGCGGGACUCUGGGCCGAUACUGACGCUGAGGAGCGAAAGCGUGGGGAGCAAACAGG